AGAGAGAGAGAGAGAGAGAGAGAACUUAGCCAUUCAAAAAGCACCCAAAUGAUUGUUACUCCAUAAUUUUUCUGAAAUCUUCUUGUUACUCCAUAAUGGCACAUUAGGAACUACAAAUUAAAAACUGAACUGAUAUUUGAAUUGAACAUCUAGUGUCAUCGCCUAGAUGUUAACAAAGAAAAUUUUGGAAGAAGAAAUGAUAAAGUUCACAAAUUACAAUUUAACGAUCAACUUAAUGAUAAAAACUUAAACUCCACAAUUUAGGAAAGAGGGCAAAACUACCAGUUAUGCCAAAUCCACUUGGGAAAAAAUAAUAGUUCAAAUAUAAUUCUGUAUUUAAGUAAAAAAAAAAAUGUAAUUAGCAUAAUCACGCUUGUAUAAUCCAAAACCCACAAAUGAAACCAAUUAAGUAGUAGAAAAUGCUAGAAAAGUUAUGAUGAAAUUCAGUCAAUGGUGGCAAGUACUCCAAAACCAAAUUUCAGUCAUGACCACAACAUCUCACACCUUCAAUUCAACUUAAAAAAAUAAAAAUUUUAUAUUUUGAAUUCCACACAAAUUGAAUCCAAAACCAAACCAGUAUAAAAAUUAAAAAUUAAGAAGCAAAUUGAGAUUUAGUUGAGAGAGGGAGGAAGUGAAUCAACAACUAUUAACAACUCUAUUGAAGCUCUAUUCAAAAUCACUUAAUAACAAAGGUUACAUGCAAAAACAAAAUUAAAUGUCCCAAAUGAGCAAUACCCAACAAAACAGCCCCAUCCACAAAACUUUUAGUUUAAACUUCCCAAUUUCAUUUGAUUAUUCAAGUAAAAAUGAUAAAAUUUACAAUGAAAUCAUGAAACUGUCCUAUUUAUACCCAAAAGACAGUAUAUAUUCAUUUUACUAUUACCCAAUACUAUUAAUUUAACUAAAUUGAAUCAAUCUGACAAAGAUAUGAGCUAUUGCACUAUGUUUUCUUUUGAUCAAGAAUCAAACCAUCUAUUUCAAGCAAUCAAUCAAAACCACACACAUGCAGAUGCCAAACUAAUAAUAUAAAAUUUAAGCUAAAAAUGCACUGUUUUAUGUCAAUAUCAAUAACCAACCAAUCAAUAAUACCAAGAACAAAUAGAGAUUAGAUUCCACAAUGAACAUAGUUAAAUCAUUACACUAUGAAAAAAAUUGAAUUUGGAAAUCAAAUAGAAGGCUUCUCUGUUAAACCAACUAAUAAUGAUGAAAUUCUAAACAACCAAUUAGAGGAUUCUAUGUAAAUAAGAAUACUUUUGUUAAUAAGGUUAAUCAAAAAUCAAGGUUUUCAAAGGCGUAUUCGAGGCGCGACUUGAGGCGAUGCGUACAGAAAACGCACAGAUGCGUUCUAUUUGGGGCGAGACCCCAGCUAUGCAUACGCGUCAAGAUCAGAGGCGUAAGCCUUUGUCGGGCUUCAUGCGCUUUUGACGCUUUCGAUAGCGAGGCGGAAGCCUUUGAAGAGUUCAAUUUCAAAAUUCAAAAAAGAGAAGAUAGAGUAGGUGAUAGAAAAAUUGCUAUAAAUUGACUUCGAUUCAAACAGAAAUUGCUCAAGAAUAAGUUAUAAAUACCAUGUAAGUCGAUCUUCAAAUCAGAGUCCAACAACUUCAAAUCAAUCGCCUAAUCUUCUUCAACGAACUAGGGUUUUCAAGUGCUACAGUUGAUAAGUUUGUGGGGAAAAAAAAAUGACUGAACCCAAAGACCAAAGAAAAGAUUUUGUCUGGAAGUAUGUAAAAGAAGUUGAUGGGGAAAAGUAUUUUAGAUGUAAAUUUUGUGAUCAAACUUGUAGUGGUACUGUAAGUCGAUUUAAAAAUCAUCUAGCCGGCACACAUAAAGGCAUUAAACCGUGUUCAAAAGUUCCUGAAGAUGUAAAGUUGGAAUGCCAA